ensembl:snoRNA
UUGCAUGUCCGACACUUCCUGCUUCUCUUUAAAGAGCACAGAUUUAUCCACGCUAUGCAACAUGAAUGAAAUGAGAAGUUGGCAGGGCUGCCAACCUUUCCAUUGUGGCUUUGAGGUAGUGUAUUUCUUCUACAANN